CCCUUAGAUGUUCUGGGCCGCACGUGCGCUACACUGACGGAGUCAACGAGUUGUCCUGCAUCGGAAGGUGUGGGUAAUCUUUUGAAACUUCGUCGUGCUGGGGAUAGAUCUUUGCAAUUUUCGAUCUUGAACGAGGAAUUCCUAGUAAGCGUGAUUCAUCAGAUCGCGUUGAUUACGUCCCUGCCCUUUGUACACACCGCCCGUCGCUACUACCGAUUGAAUGGUUUAGUGAGGCCUCGGGACUGGCGCGCUCGAGUAGCAAUACACCUGCGCGCCGGGAACUUGGUCAAACUUGAUCAUUUAGAGGAAGUAAAAGUCGUAACA
rnacentral:rRNA from 1 species